GUGGGGAUGCAGUUCCUUUUAUCGCUCACUUACAAGUUACAAGUGAUGAGUGAAGACAUGAACAAGACACAGUCAUCCCAGCCGACUCAGCAACAGACCGAAAGAGGAAAGGAAAACUGCAGGGAUCCACAGGGUCUCCCCAUGUAGUUCGGGCUGGCCUUGAUUUCAAGCUCUCUGCCACCCACCACGCCUGGUGCUCUAAUAAACAUGCUUUGAAGCUA